GAGCGGCUAGUAUAAUGGUCAGUACAGUUCGUUGCGGUUCUCAACCCCUCUCCGAACAAACCCAGGUUCGAUUCCUUGUCACUCA